rnacentral:rRNA from 1 species
AGGGAAUCUUCCACAAUGGACGGAAGUCUGAUGGAGCAAUGCCGCGUGAGCGAAGAAGGUUUUCGGAUCGUAAAGCUCUGUUGUGAGGGAAGAACACGUACGGGAGUAACUGCCCGUACCUUGACGGUACCUCAUUAGAAAGCCACGGCUAACUACGUGCCAGCAGCCGCGGUAAUACGUAGGUGGCAAGCGUUGUCCGGAAUUAUUGGGCGUAAAGCGCGCGCAGGCGGUCUUUUAAGUCUGAUGUGAAAGCCCACGGCUCAACCGUGGAAGGUCAUUGGAAACUGGGAGACUUGAGUACAGAAGAGGAAAGCGGAAUUCCACGUGUAGCGGUGAAAUGCGUAGAGAUGUGGAGGAACACCAGUGGCGAAGGCGGCUUUCUGGUCUGUAACUGACGCUGAGGCGCGAAAGCGUGGGGAGCGAAC